AUUGAACGCUGGCGGCAUGCCUUACACAUGCAAGUCGAACGGCAGCAUGGAGAGCUUGCUCUCUGAUGGCGAGUGGCGAACGGGUGAGUAAAGCAUCGGACCGUACCGUGUAGUGGGGGAUAACGUAGCGAAAGUUACGCUAAUACGGCAUACGCACUGAGGUGGAAAGCAGGGGAUCGUAAGACCUUGCGCUAUACGAGCGGCCGAUGUCAGAUUAGCUAGUUGGUAGGGUAAAGGCCUACCAAGGCGACGAUGUGUAGCGGGUCUGAGAGGAUGAUCCGCCACACUGGGACUGAGACACGGCCCAGACUCCUACGGGAGGCAGCAGUGGGGAAUAUUGGACAAUGGGGGCAACCCUGAUCCAGCCAUGCCGCGUGAGUGAAGAAGGCCUUCGGGUUGUAAAGCUCUUUCGGCCGGGAAGAAAUCGCACAGGCUAAUACCCUGUGUGGAUGACGGUACCGGCAUAAGAAGCACCGGCUAACUACGUGCCAGCCGCCGCCGUAA
rnacentral:rRNA from 1 species